rnacentral:rRNA from 1 species
UACGAAGGGGGCUAGCGUUGCUCGGAAUCACUGGGCGUAAAGCGCACGUAGGCGGAUCUUUAAGUCAGGGGUGAAAUCCCAAGGCUCAACCUUGGAACUGCCUUUGAUACUGGGGAUCUCGAGUCCGGAAGAGGUGAGUGGAACUGCGAGUGUAGAGGUGAAAUUCGUAGAUAUUCGCAAGAACACCUGUGGCGAAAGCGGCGCAGCCGUGGACCAUACUGACGCUGAGUGACGCGGAAGCAUAGGG